AUACAAUUUUUGCUAAAAAACUAGAAAAUUUUGAAAAAUGAUCAAAAUCUCGAAAAACAUAUUUUAACAGAGUUAGCAUAGUCAUAUAGCCUUUUGUAGGGUGAAUAUAAAUGAACUACCACAUCUUAUCAUUUGGGGCUUAAUUUUCUUUAUUUUGUCCAUAUGUAAUAUAAUAUAACUUCGUUAUCAAAUUGGUUGUUAGCAUUCAGUUUUUCAUUAAACGUCGUGAGUUAUUGGAAACCUAUCGAAUUUCUUAACUUUUAAUAUGGGUGGUUGUUGCAGUACGAGGAAAUCCGUUGACUUACCAUCUGUACCACCCGCUAAUGAUAAACUUAAUUCGCGGGAUUACCCAACUACCGGGGUAACCACAAUUGGAAACUCCGGCACGAAUAUCGGCAGCACAAAUUUGGCGUUGGAGGAGGAUUAAAGGAACAAGUUGCAUUCGUGAUGAUAUGCGUGAAAGAUAUUGUUUAAAGUUAGGUCUUAAUAUAAGUAUGUAGAUUAGUGUGCUCUCCCAAAUUUCAUAUGGGUAUAUAUAUUGUAUCUAAUACUAUAUAGUAUUCGUACAUACAUAUGAUUACAUAUCGCAUAUCAUAAUAUGGUUGACUCACAAUUAGUAAGAUAUAUGUACAUAUACUUACCAUAUAACUAGGUUAAACACGUGUAGAGAUAGUGGCAUUUACAAACCUAAAAAACCUUCUAUUAAACGCAAAAA